GGUGUUGGGUGCCUUUUUCUUGCUGGUUUCUGGCAUCUGGUAGCAGCACAUAGCAAGAAAAGAAACUCUAGAGAAGAGGAGAAGAAGAAGAUCAAGAAAAAAGAUCAAGCGUUGAUCGUGAUCCAGGUUUCGUUCAGAUUCAGCAGGCUGAAUUUUUUGAGAACAAAAUUCAGAUUAAAAAGGACUGUUCCAGGCUGAUCUCGAGCGGAUACUCGUAGAGACC
rnacentral:lncRNA from 1 species